CCUACGGGGGGCAGCAGUGGGGAAUAUUGCGCAAUGGGCGAAAGCCUGACGCAGCGACGCCGCGUGAGGGAUGAAGGUCUUCGGAUCGUAAACCUCUGUCAGCAGGGAAGAACGGUCACUGUGCUAAUCAGCAGUGACUUGACGGUACCUGCAAAGGAAGCACCGGCUAACUCCGUGCCAGCAGCCGCGGUAAUACGGAGGGUGCGAGCGUUAAUCGGAAUUACUGGGCGUAAGGCGCUCGUAGGCGGUAUGUCAAGUCAAGGGUGAAAUCCCCGCGCUCAACGUGGGAACUGCCUUUGAAACUGGCAAACUGGAGUGUGUGAGAGGAUAGUGGAAUUCCAGGUGUAGGAGUGAAAUCCGUAGAUAUCUGGAGGAACAUCAGUGGCGAAGGCGACUAUCUGGCACAUAACUGACGCUGAGGAGCGAAAGCGUGGGUAGCAAACAGGAUUAGAUACCCUAGUAGUC
rnacentral:rRNA from 1 species